UGGUAAGGUAAUGGCUUACCAAGGCGACGAUGGGUAGCCGGCCUGAGAGGGUGUACGGCCACACUGGGACUGAGACACGGCCCAGACUCCUACGGGAGGCAGCAGUAGGGAAUAUUGCGCAAUGGAGGGAACUCUGACGCAGCGACGCCGCGUGAGCGAUGAAGGUCUUCGGAUCGUAAAGCUCUGUCCUUGGGGAAGAAGGGUGCAUUAUAGCAUCUUGACGGUACCCGAGGAGGAAGCCCCGGCUAACUACGUGCCAGCAGCCGCGAUAAUACGUAGGGGGCAAGCGUUGUCCGGAAUUAUUGGGCGUAAAGGGUGCGUAGGCGGCCUUUUAAGUCAGGUGUGAAAGCCCACGGCUUAACCGUGGGAUUGCAUUUGAAACUGGAAGGCUUGAGUAUCGGAGAGGGUAGUGGAAUUCCCAGUGUAGCGGUGAAAUGCGUAGAUAUUGGGAGGAACACCAGUGGCGAAGGCGACUACCUGGACGAAAACUGACGCUGAUGCACGAAAGCUAGGGGAGCAAACAGGAUUAGAUACCCUGGUAGUCCUAGCUGUAAACGAUGGGUACUAGGUGUAGGAGGUUUCGAUACCUUCUGUGCCGGAGUUAA
rnacentral:rRNA from 1 species